rnacentral:rRNA from 1 species
UACGUAGGGUGCAAGCGUUGUCCGGAAUUAUUGGGCGUAAAGAGCUCGUAGGCGGUUUGUUGCGUCGGCCGUGAAAACCUGCAGCUUAACUGUGGGCCUGCGGCCGAUACGGGCAGACUUGAGUUCGGUAGGGGAGACUGGAAUUCCUGGUGUAGCGGUGAAAUGCGCAGAUAUCAGGAGGAACACCAAUUGCGAAGGCGGUUCUCUGGGCCUGUACUGACGCUGAGGAACGAAAGCGUGGGGGAGCGAACAGG